AACGAACGCUGGCGGCAGGCCUAACACAUGCAAGUUGAACGCCCGUAGCAAUACGGGAGUGGCAGACGGGUGAGUAACGCGUGGGAACGUGCCCUUCGGUUUGGAAUAACUCAGGGAAACUUGAGCUAAUACCAAAUACGUCCGUAAGGAGAAAGAUUUAUCGCCGAAGGAUCGGCCCGCGUCGGAUUAGCUAGUUGGUGAGGUAACGGCCCACCAAGGCGACGAUCCGUAGCUGGUCUGAGAGGAUGAUCAGCCACACUGGGACUGAGACACGGCCCAGACUCCUACGGGAGGCAGCAGUGGGGAAUAUUGGACAAUGGGCGAAAGCCUGAUCCAGCCAUGCCGCGUGAGUGAAGAAGGCCUUAGGGUUGUAAAGCUCUUUCAGCGGGGAAGAUAAUGACGGUACCCGCAGAAGAAGCCCCGGCUAACUUCGUGCCAGCAGCCGCCGCAGUAA
rnacentral:rRNA from 1 species